rnacentral:rRNA from 1 species
ACGGAAGGCAGCAGUGGGGAAUAUUGGGCAAUGGGCGAAAGCCUGACCCAGCGACGCCGCGUGAGCGAAGAAGGUCUUCGGAUUGUAAAGCUCUGUGUACAGGAACGAUAAUGACGGUACCUGUAUAGAAAGCCACGGCUAACUACGUGCCAGCAGCCGCGGUAAUACGUAGGUGGCAAGCGUUAUCCGGAUUUACUGGGUGUAAAGGGUGUGUAGGCGGGGGAGCAAGUCAGAUGUGAAAUCCAUGGGCUCAACUCAUGGACUGCGUCUGAAUCUGUUCUUCUUGAGUGUCGGAGGGGUAAUCGGAAUUCCUGGUGUAGCGGUGAAAUGCGUAGAUAUCAGGAGGAACACCGGUGGCGAAGGCGGAUUACUGGACGACAACUGACGCUGAGACACGAAAGCGUGG